rnacentral:rRNA from 1 species
UACGGGGGGGGCAAGCGUUGUUCGGAAUUACUGGGCGUAAAGGGCGCGUAGGCGGCCUGCUAAGUCACACGUGAAAUCCCUCGGCUCAACCGGGGAACUGCGUGUGAUACUGGCGGGGCUUGAAUUCGGGAGAGGGAUGUGGAAUUCCAGGUGUAGCGGUGAAAUGCGUAGAUAUCUGGAGGAACACCGGUGGCGAAGGCGGCGAUCCUGGACCGAGAUUGACGCUGAGG